UAGAGUUUGAUCCUGGCUCAGAGUUAACGCUGGCGGCGCGCCUAACACAUGCAAGUCGAGCGAGGGUCUGUACGACCUAGCGGCAGACGGGUGAGUAAUACGUAGACAAUCUGCCCUUGAAUGGAAGAUAACCCGGCGAAAGUCGGGCUAAUAUUCCAUAUAAUCCCGGGGAGGCAUCUUCCUGGGAUGAAAGCAGCAAUGCGUUCAAGGAGGAGUCUGCGGCCUAUCAGCUAGUUGGCGGGGUAAUGGCCCACCAAGGCUUUGACGGGUAGCCGAUCUAAAAGGAUGACCGGCCACAAGGGCACUGAGACACGGGCCCUACUCCUACGGGAGGCAGCAGUGGGGAAUUUUGGACAAUGGGGGAAACCCUGACCCAGCGACGCCGCGUGGAGGACGAAGGUCUUCGGAUUGUAAACUCCUUUUGCAGGGGACGAAAAAAAUGACGGUACCCUGCGAAUAAGCCACGGCUAACUACGUGCCAGCCGCCGCGGUAAUACA
rnacentral:rRNA from 1 species